UAUUAACAAUGUCGUACAAGUUGGAUUUGCGUAAGUCUGUCGCUAACUUGUUUGGCAGACUAAGUACAAAAGAAAUUCUUGAAGUGUUCAAAGACAAGCCAAUCUCACGAAGAACUAUUUUUACCGUUUUUUAGAAUUGUCGUGAAUGUAAAGAGCAGAAAAAUAAAAAGAUACCCGGUCGCCCACCAAAAUUAAGCAUCAGAACAACCAAAAGUUUGCUCUCAAGUGCCAAAAACAAGGUUGGUCAUCAACACGUAAAUUAAGAUGAAAAUUUGGUAUUUCAAACUCAACAGUCCACGGUAUUUUGGCAAAAAUAACGUUUUUUUAUCGGAAACGUCAACGAGCACCCAAAUAUACAGCGAAACAACUCGAAAAAAUACCAAAAUGUUGCCGUGCACUUCGUGACAAACACUUUGCGAAUAGAAAAUCCAUAAUUUUGAAUGAUGAAUCUUACUUCACAUUCUCGCAUCAUGAAUUGAGUGGAAACGGCGGUUUUUAUACUGACAACAUUGAAAAAAUACCAGACAAUGUUUAAUAUGCCGACAAAGCCAAAUUUGAGCCAAAUGUGUUAUUGUGGGUGGCCAUUUCAGAGAAGGAUGUCUCAGUGCCUUUGAUUCGACCAAACAAAGCAAAAGCGAUCGAUGCUGACAUUUAUAUCAGUCAAUGCUUGCCAAAAUUGAAGCAUAUUAUCGAAAAAUAUCACGCUCACGACGAAAUCAUGUUUUGGCCAGAUUUUGCAAGCAGAAUUGCAAAAAAAAAAACAUUGGAUUGGCUGAAUGAGCAAAAAGUGCCAUUUGUACCAAAAAAUGAUAAUCCCCCAAACGUACCACAGGCACGUCCAAUCGGAAAAAUUUGGGCCGUUCUCAAACGUGUGGUCUAUGAACAUGGCUGGGAAGCUCGAAAUGAGCAACAGUCAGGACCACGGCUAUGCGUCACAACAACAACAACAUGGAGACGCAAACGGAUAAACGAAAACUGUAUCAACAGUAGCUAACGCAUUCGCUGUCCGAUAUCGGCUACUUGCAACGACAAACCGAUUUGAAUGUGUUGGUGUGAGAAUUUAUUUGACUGUGACAUUCCAACCCAACAAGUCGGCAACAAGUCACAUCGUGUCGAACCAUCACCAGUGUAAGAACUAAAAUUGCUGCGCAUAAAUUUUCAUUUUACAUCGAAAGUGAAAUAUUCUGUCGAAUUGGAUUUUUGUCGGUUUUUCCAGAAAAAGUAUUCGGAACAACAAAUGGGACACAUCAAAUGUCGAAGAAGAAUAUGGACACAUUUUUAGUUCUUACACUGGGAAUCGUUCACAAACCGACCACAAACGAUGUCAGAACCUGGAAAAUAUGAAUACAAAGGAUCGUUUCUUAGUUUGCCCCAACUACGAACCGGUCCACAAUCGUAUUAUUUCCGGCAACCAUACAAACACACCAAGCAAUAGACCAAUUACCACAAACCGAUGAAUAUGAAUACAAAGGAUCGUUUCUUAGUUUGCCCCAACUACGAACCGGUCCGCUAUCGUGUUCUUUUCGGCAACCAUACAAACACACCGAGCAAUAGACCAAUACCAUAAAUCGGUGAAUAUGAAUACAAAGGAUCGUUUUCUAGUUUGCCCCAACUAUGAGCCGGUCCACAAUCGUAUUCUUCCCCGGUACAAAUAAAAUGAAUAUCCUCCUCGGCCGUCUCCCGUAGUUUACUCCGUCUACGAGUAAUUUACGUGUGUGAGUAGUGGCCUUGGCACCAAGUGCUAUUCUAUAAUUCGGGUUUCCCGUACCUAAAAAUCCCCCAAUACUAAUUUUCAUACCGAUCGAAUGAGAAAAAUCGAAACUCCAAAAUGUCACUCCAAGGGGUAGGUUCGAAGCCGAUUAUCUUGUGAACUUCGAAUUGAUCGGUCAAAACCAUUGGCACCAUUGGAUUCCUUGGGUCCGAAUUAUGUAAGAUCGGUGGUAAAACCAAACAAUCUUGCCCAGAAAAUUUGAUUUAAAAAAAUGAAAAAAAAAUUCGGUCGCUCCACUUCGGACCGUUAAAAUUUUUGACACACCCACAUAAAUUUGGAAUCUAAAAAUGUGCAUACCGGACCAAAAUUGAAUGCUCUUUCGAUUUCUGGCAUAAAAAAGAUAGGUUUAUCACAUGUUAUUUCGAGAUAAAUUACGAUUUUCCUCGAUUUUCGAUGAUUUUUUUCACUUUUGGUCAACCCACUUUGACCGUCUCCACUGAAACUUUUUUUGAAUUUUUUUUGUGAUAUUCUUAAGAGGGCCGAGAGAUCUUUCGAACAAGACAAUAAUGAAAAAUUGCUUUUGAAAAACACCGCUGUGGUGACCGUCCGUGGAAAUCAACCAGAAAUUAGAAAAUCUUGACCCUAAGGGGCCGAGGACUGUAACCCCACUAAAACAGCCGAUUUGGGAAAAGUGCUCAUACACUUUUUUACUCCUCUUGAGCUGAUGAAUCUGUGGUAGAGAGAUUAGCAUGGAUCUGUGAAACACCCUGUAUAUUUCACAAAGGGAACAGAAACUAUUUUUGGCAAUAUUAAUAAAAAAAGAGUUAAUGUUAUUGGAAGAAAAUAUAAAAACAAAAAUUCAUUUUUUAAACCGGAAA